UAGAAGUCAGGUCGGAUUAAGCCAUAGUACGGGAAAAACUAUGCUACCUGUGAGCCCCGUCCAAGGACGUUAAAAGAAGUCAGGCCACUACAAGUGCCAUAGCUUGAGCAAACUAUGCAGCCUGUAGCUCCACCUGGGAAGGUGUAAAAAAUCUGGGAGGCCACAAACCAUGGAAGCUGUACGCAUGGCGUAGUGGACUAGCGGUUAGAGGAGACCCCUCCCUUGCAAGUCGCAGCAACAAUGGGGGCCCAAGGUGAGAUGAAGCUGUAAUCUCACUGGAAGGACUAGAGGUU
rnacentral:lncRNA from 1 species